AUUUAACGCUGGCGGCAGGCCUAACACAUGCAAGUCGAACGAGUGGCGGACGGGUGAUUAAUGUCUGGGAACCUGCCUGAUGGAGGGGGAUAACUACUGGAAACGGUAGCUAAUCCCGCAUACCAUCAGAUGUGCCCCGGUGGGAUUAGCUUGUUGGGGGGGUAACGGCUCACCAAGGCGACGCUCCCUAGCUGGGCUGAGAGGAUGACCAGACACACUGGAACGGAGACACGGGCCAGACUCCUACGGGAGGCAGCAGUGGGGAAUAUUGCACAAUGGGCGCAAGACUGAUGGAGCCAGGCCGCGUGUAUGAAGAAGGCCGUCGGGGUGUAAAGUACUUUCAGCGGGGAGGCGUUACCCGAAGAAGAAGCACCGGCUAACUCCGUGCCAGCAGCCGCGGUAAUAC
rnacentral:rRNA from 1 species